rnacentral:tRNA from 1 species
GCCUCGGUGGCUCAGUCGGUUAAGCAUCUGACUUCAGCUCAGGUCAUGAUCUCGCGGUUCGUGGGUUCAAGCCCCACAUCAGGCU